ACGUAGGGUGCGAGCGUUAAUCGGAAUUACUGGGCGUAAAGCGUGCGCAGGCGGUUUUAUAAGCCAGAUGUGAAAUCCCCGGGCUCAACCUGGGAACUGCAUUUGGAACUGUAAGACUAGAGUAUAGCAGAGGGGGGUAGAAUUCCACGUGUAGCAGUGAAAUGCGUAGAUAUGUGGAGGAAUACCAAUGGCGAAGGCAGCCCCCUGGGUUAAUACUGACGCUCAUGCACGAAAGCGUGGGGAGCAAACAGGAUUAGAUACCCUGGUAGUCCACGCCCUAAACGAUGUCAACUAGGUGUUGGGGGAGGAGACUUCCUUAGUACCGCAGCUAACGCGUGAAGUUGACCGCCUGGGGAGUACGGUCGCAAGAUUA
rnacentral:rRNA from 1 species